AUGGCUCCUACCGAGGCUGAGGCUGAUGUAGAGGAGGGAGAAGAGAAUAAGAAGAGGGAAAGGAAAGCAGCCGGAGCUGCUUUCACGUGGAUUCAAAAUAACUUUGCGACGUGCCCUCUGGAUGCCACUGAUGAUGUGAUCCAGACACAUGCUCGUGUGUAUAUGUGGUACGUUGUGUCGAGGACUUUGUUCCCUGACUCCACUGGCAAGAACGCUCCAUGGAUGUGGCUGAAGGCGUUGACCGUCUUCGAUAGCAAAUGGAGCUGGGGUUCAGCGACUCUUGCCUACUUGUACCAACAGGUAGUUGGUCUUUUUUGUGAUCAACUCAUUUCUUCAUUAGCAAUGCAAGCUUGCUGUCAAGUUAACAUUGUUUUUUUCUUUCAUAUGUAG
rnacentral:rRNA from 1 species